AAGCAUCUAAAGCCUAGUAGAAGGGGCUGCUGGCAGCCUGGUUUCUGAUCUUGCUUCAGUGAAGGAAGAGGUUCCCUAUGCUGCUCUGAUUUGGUCCUAUGAAGACAAAGUGGAGUGAAGUGGGAUUAACAUAAAGAAAAAAAAGACAUCAGAAGAAAAGAGGACUCCCAGAGGCAUGAAUGUGUUUGAGUCUCCAGGUUCCCUCUCAUUCACCUUCUGUUUCUAUGAAGCCUAUUUUCCUGGCUCCUCUGGCAGCUAUGCAGCACCUGGGGGUUUCCUGGAGGCUGCCAGCCAGUAGAAAGAGUAGGAAAGAAGAUCCAGAAUGCAGCAGUCUUCACAAACCCUAUGUGAAAAAUAUACUUUGGACUGAAUAAUUGGGCAGAAGCAACAUGAACUAAUUUUCACUGGAAUGGCUGGAAAUGUAGUUGUGGCACUUCUCAGAACUGCUCUCUUACUGAAAAAAAACUGUUUGGAAUAUGAAGCCUUCCUGUGCUGUGACAGUAAGGUAAUGACUCUUAUACUCUAGAGCUCUUUGGGGCAGAGAGGUUUAUUAGGAAGACAGCACGGCAUCUUGUCUGUGAAGUGUAUGGAUUCUAUAUGAAAACAGCAAUUUAUCUUUACCUUCUAUCAGAAAUGCAAUGAGGCCAACAAAAACAAUUUUAUCUGUAAGUCUACUACGGGUGACACUAAUUAAGAAUGUUAGAUGUGUGAAUUUUGUAAUUCAGGUUGAACUGAUGUGAAAUUCUGAGCAUCAGGGUAAAAUUCCUUAAGUCCUGUAAACAAAAUAUGGAGAAAGAACUAUGCAAGUGAGUGUUUAAGACUGUACUUGCAAAAUGUGUUUAAAAACAUUAGAUGUUCUUACCUAAGAAACAUGUUAGCGUCAUAAUUGUGUAUUUUGAGUAAAAUGGUAUAAUUGUUUCACUAUCAUUAAUUCUCUUUCCAAUUCUUGAUUUUAUGUCCUUAUUUAAUACAUUUUUACAGACUUUUUAUUUGUUUGUUGUUUUUAAGGUAGUUGACCAGUUGAGAGUAAGGAAUCACAGUUUUUUUGGUGGAAUUAAAAUUUGUUUGCUGGAUCUUUCAUAAGAAGGCCAAAGUUGCCCAUGUAAGGAGGGAAAUAAAACUUUUCUUUGUAGUUUCAAUGACAAUGUUCAUGUGCAUUGGUUUUGUUUCCUGGAAAAUCUUACAUUGGCCAGGUAUGGACCUGUUGAUGUUGAGUAAAGUAAUUCUUUUUCAUUAUCCUUUCAUUUUGAGGUGAGGAGAAAAAAAUACAUUUUUAUAGCAUUAAAUUACAGUUGAGCAUGAUUGUUUACAUCUAUAUUUGUUUUCUUUAUUUAUAAUAUGUUUUUCUCUUGGUAUAAUUUGCCUUAUGUGCUGAGAUGUUAGGAAGAUGCUUUUACAGUAGUUAUAAAUCUUAUUUUAAUCCUAGAGAAGGGAAUGAAUAAGUAAUACCACAUCUGUCUCAACUUUUUAUAUACCCCCUGGUAUACCCCCUGGUACUGAGGACUUCCAUAAAAGGUUAGGCCCUUAUAUACAUCAAAGGUGUACUGGUGUGUUGUACUUUUAACCUUAUCUGUCUCUAGUACAGGAAUAGGUGUUUAGUAGUGAAAAUCAUGAGCAAACAUUUUGAAUGUUGCUCUGCAAGUGUUAGAUCUUUCUACUCAUUUGUGGAGCUGCUGUUUUUGUAUGUUCAGGGCCUUGGGCAUAGAUGUGCACCAAUUGAUCAGUGCUCCUAGGAGAGUGUGAAGAGGUAAACCAAGAAUUAAACAAAUUAAGAAGGUAAUCUUAGUGAAAUUCAUCAAAAAGCAGUAAUUCAUUACUACUCUCGACAAUAUUUGGUGGCAUUGCACCUGGCAUGCUAGUUUUAACAAGUGUAUCAUCUGGAAUACCUCAUCACCUCAUGGAAAAAAAUUGUCCUCUGGAGUCCUUCAGCUUAGAAGGUGGUCAUAGGCAAGUCUAGUAUUGAAACCAGAAGAAUUAAACCAGAAAUAAAAUGUAUAGCGUCAUUGAAAAUGC
ensembl:lncRNA